rnacentral:lncRNA from 1 species
CCGGCGGAGUGCCGGACACGACCCCGCCACCGGACGUGCCGCUGCCCCCUGUGUCGCCCGAUGGUAGCACCGUCUAGCUAGCGUGGUCCGUCUGUGCGUGCUUGCUGUGUAGCUUUUUUUUUUGGAUCACUUGCGUAGCUUUUGCAUACGGUGUCAGUGUGUACAUACAUGUUGCAGUGGAGUACGUUCUACCUUUUUCACUACGGAGCACCGAUGUGUACUGUUGUAUUCUC